CACCCCAACCCCAGGCAACAGAAUGAGACUCUGUCUCAAAAAAAAAAAAAGAAGCAGCAUCUAUUUCCCCUGCCCUUGAAGCUGGGCCUGACUUUACAACUGCCUGGAGGAAUUGAAUGCAGUGAAAGUGAUACUGUGUGCUUCUGAGGCUGGGUCAUAAACCAUGUGGCCUCCACCUGGCCCUCUCUCUUUCUCCCUCCCUCCCUCUCUCCCCCACUCUUCGUCCCUUCCCUUCCUCCCCUCUCUCUCUGGAUGCUUGUCCUUGGAUCCCAGCCACUGUCUUGUGAGGAAGCCCCGGCUGCAUGAAGAGGCAGCAGAUGUUCUGACCAACAGCCCCAGCUACCAUCUCAGUUGACAGCCAGACCAAUCACCAGACUUCGGAUGGUCCUUAGCCAACUCUGCCUCCCACCACACAAACCAAACCUUUCCUCCGAAUGUCCUUGAAGAUGGUUCACCUGUGGGAGAGAAAACUGUGAGUCGUUGUCUUUUGAGGAUAGUGGAACACGUUCUUCAGUUUCCUACAAAGGUCUCCUGCCUUUUCCUGUGAAAUUUUUUCUGAUGCCCAUUCUGGACAUUCCCCGUUCGUUAUCAGCACUGUGACAAGGAAGGAUCUGCCUGUUCCAUCCCUUUCCAAGCCUUCUGUGACCUCUCAACGGGAAGCUGGGGAAAAAACACGGAUUUUGCAUAUUAAAGGCAACCAGAGGCCAAGAGAGAUGUUUGUUUGUGUAUGAGGAAGAUUCCAUUAUAUGCCAGUUCCAAGGAAAAUAGUCGGCCAAUGUUGGGUGAAGUAGUGGCUGCCUUCACAAUUUAGUAGGGAAGUACUUCUCCCAUGAAAUAUGAUGGUCCCCGGAAGCCAGGAUGGGGAGAGACCCUUAAGGACACAUCUUUAGAAAGAAUAUUAUUAAUUUUCCAUCUGGAACUGAACUAGAAGACAAUUUAAUACCACCCACUGAUGGGUACAAUAACUAUUGGGACAUUGCAGGAAAGUGCCAAAGCAUUUCAUUUCUAUGAAGGAUAGCCGCUGUAUUUUAAGGAAAAGUGUAACAUCGUUUUUGCUGCUGUGUGGAAGUUAAAUCUGGAUGAAAGAGUAAGAAUAAAUGCUGAGACACCCAACCAAUGGACUUUGCUGGUUGUCUGCCCGCCGGCUCUCAGCUCACGGUUGGACUCCCUCCCUUUCAUGUUCCAUUCCAUGUGGAAGAAUUCCAGGACCUUGCAAAUUACCCUUUCUGGCCUUCUUUGCCAACAGGACAUGUUGGUGUCAUUUCCUGCGGGGGUA